ACCGCUUCAAUUUCAAAUCUUCCCCCUCUUUUGUCAAAUUUCUUGAAUUAGGGUUCAUCGCAGCUGUCAAAUUUGGGAUUUUCACUCAAUUGAGGGUGGUGAAGAGAGUAAUUCGAGUGACCAAUGCGAUUUAUUUCGUCGGGAUUCUUGGGUUUUUUCGGUGGUUUCUUUUGUUAAUACCGAAAAGACUCAAGCUUUUAUCAAUGUCUUGGGCUCUCGACUUCCCUAGCUAGCUAUCUUGACAUUUAAGAGGUGAUUGGUUGGGAAGAAUUGUGUUACGACCCCAACAAACUCGCUGGUGGCAGAGUCAACAAGUGGAGAUACGGCAGAAGCAAGUCCCACGUCGACGCCGGCUGGAGCGGGGAAGAAUCGGCGCCGAGCGAUGAUGAACAGGUGGAACGAUCAAAGGAGGAUUUAGAGGCGAUCAUUGCAAGGAUGCUAAGGCCGAGGACGCAGCUCAAACCGCCGGAUUGCUACCAGGACUUCGUCGCCAAAUAGCCGACGCCAGCUGUUUGAUGAAUUGUCUAAAUGACUUUAUUUUUUCUUUAGUUUAUUUUCUUUUGUUUAUUUUAUUUUUAUGAACGGUUA